ACUGGGCACGGUGGCACAGCUACUCGGGAGGCUGAGGUGGGAGGAUAGCUUGAGCCCAGGAGUUCUGGGCUGUAGUGUGCUAUGCUGAUUGGGUGACCUCACUAAAUUCAGCAUCAGUAUGGUGACCUCCUGGGAGCGUGUGACCACUAGGUUGCCUAAGGAGGUGUGAACUGUCCCAGGUCAGAAAUGGAGCAGGUCAAAACUCCUGUGCUGAUCAGUAGGGGGAUCACGUCUGUGAAUAGCUACUGCACUCCAGCCUGGGCAACAUAGCGAGACUCCGUCUCUA
ensembl:misc_RNA Metazoa_SRP Metazoan signal recognition particle RNA